CACAGAUAGAGAGGGAGCACGCGUUGGAGGAUUGGGGUGAAAAUUCGGAAGAUUUUUGGAGAUCGUCUUGAGGGGAAGUAUAGAGAGAGGGACUGACAGCACGCAUCCUUCUCGUUUGAAGCUGAGCAAUUCUCCUCAAAGAUUGGCUCUUCCAGGUUGCGAAGAAAAUUGAUUUGCCAAAAGAAGAGAAAUCAUUAUGUUAAAGGAUCGAAGGAACAUUGUUCUACCUAUUUGCAUCAAAACAAAAGAUCAACUAGGAGAGUGGAAGGAAAUAAGCAUACCCCACAGUGUCUCUACAAUGGAAGACAAUGAUCAAAUAACUACCUUGAACUCCCUAUUUGCAUCAAAACAAAAGAUCAACUAGGAGAGUGGAAGGAAAUAAGCAUACCCCACAGCACCAGGUCAAUUGUUUGCCUUAACUUGCCUUGCUUUCCAGAUAGACCAAAUGUAAAAGAAAAAUAUGUGGGAUCAAUCCAGUUAGAGCUUUACAAUAGUGCAGUCAGCCACAUCCAUAUGAGCAUUGAUGGGAAUCGAUGGAAACACCCUCAUUGAGGAUGACAAUAAGGUGAUUGACACUUUUUAUUCAGGAAAAACAAGAGUGUAUGUAAAUUCCAAUUCAAAAUGCAAAUUAAAAUAGCUUGAUAUGAGAAUGUUUUAAGAAGAGUUGAGUAGUAUUCUUAGCUCCAUGGUAUAA